GGACAAAACCGUGGAAGGUAGGGCGGUGACGUCAAGUCAUCAUGGCCCUUACGGCCAGGGCUACACACGUGCUACAAUGGUCGGUACAAAGGGUUGCUACACAGCGAUGUGAUGCUAAUCUCAAAAAGCCGAUCGUAGUCCGGAUUGGAGUCUGCAACUCGACUCCAUGAAGUCGGAAUCGCUAGUAAUCGCGGAUCAGAAUGCCGCGGUGAAUACGUUCCCGGGCCUU
rnacentral:rRNA from 1 species